AUUGAACGCUGGCGGAAUGCUUUACACAUGCAAGUCGAACGGCAGCACGGGGGCAACCCUGGUGGCGAGUGGCGAACGGGUGAGUAAUACAUCGGAACGUGCCCAGUCGUGGGGGAUAACGUAGCGAAAGCUACGCUAAUACCGCAUACGAUCUAAGGAUGAAAGCGGGGGACCGUAAGGCCUCGCGCGAUUGGAGCGGCCGAUGGCAGAUUAGGUAGUUGGUGGGGUAAAGGCUCACCAAGCCUGCGAUCUGUAGCUGGUCUGAGAGGACGACCCGCCACACUGGGAAUGAGACACGGCCCAGACUCCUACGGGAGGCAGCAGUGGGGAAUUUUGGACAAUGGGCGCAAGCCUGAUCCAGCCAUUCCGCGUGCAGGAUGAAGGCCUUCGGGUUGUAAACUGCUUUUGUACGGAACGAAAAGGUGCCUCCUAAUACGGGGUGCUCAUGACGGUACCGUAAGAAUAAGCACCGGCUAACUACGUGCCAGCCGCCGCAGUAA
rnacentral:rRNA from 1 species